GACGAACGCUGGCGGCGUGCCUAAUACAUGCAAGUCGAACGAGAGCGUCCGGUGUUUGCACUGGUCAAUCUAGUGGCGAACGGGUGCGUAACACGUGGGUAACCUGACCAUCAGAGGGGGAUAACAUUCGGGAACGGUUGCUAAGACCGCAUAGGUCUUCGCACUGCAUUGUUUGAAGAGGAAAUGAGGUGCUAGCUUCUGUUGUUGGCUGGCCACGCGGUGCAUUAGCUCGUUGGUGAGGUAACGGCUCACCACGGCCGUGAUGCAUAGCGGACCUGAAAGGGUGGACGCCCAGAUUGGGACAGAGACACGGCCCAAACUCCGACGGUAGGCAGCGGUAGGGAAUCUUCCGCAAGGGACGCAAGGCGAACGGAGGAAAGCCGCGGGAGGGAAGAUGGUGUUCUGAUCGUAAAACUCUGUUGUUAGAGAAGUUCAAGUGCUAUAGUAACUGUGAGCACCAUGACGGUAUCUAACCAGAAAGCCACGGCUAACUACGUG
rnacentral:rRNA from 1 species